rnacentral:piRNA from 1 species
UCCUGACUAGUGUGCUACCCAUUGAGAA